CGGUUCACCAACAGAUGUAGAUGAAGGUCCAGAUGGUUCAGAGUCUCAGUGUUCUUCCUCUCUCUCCUCCCCUCUCACUGCAGACAUGAAACACUGGCUGACAAACAUCCUGAUUCUGACUCUCUGGCUCGAGUGUAAAGGAGAAGACAGAGUGAUCCAGCGCACAGCAGAUGUCAUUGCUGCUGAAGGACACCACGUCACACUUCAAUGUUCCUUUGAAACCAGUGACACAAAUAAUUAUUUGUUCUGGUACCAACAAGAACUAAAUGGUUCUCUAAAGUUUAUGCUGAAACGUUUCAGUUUUGGAGGAGGACAAAAUGCUGCAGAGUUCAACAAAGAGAGAUUUGAUGCUGAAGUCAAAAAGACAUCGGUUGAUCUGAAGAUCCAGAAGCUGCAGCUGCGAGACUCUGCUGUGUACUACUGUGCUCUGCAGCCCACAGUGACAGCAAGCAGCAAAAGAGAGGACAAAAACACUACA